rnacentral:rRNA from 1 species
CCUACGGGCGGCUGCAGUGGGGAAUAUUGGACAAUGGGCGAAAGCCUGAUCCAGCCAUGCCGCGUGUGUGAAGAAGGCCUUCGGGUUGUAAAGCACUUUCAGUGGGGAAGAAAGCCUUGGGGCUAAUACCCUCGAGGAAGGACAUCACCCACAGAAGAAGCACCGGCUAACUCCGUGCCAGCAGCCGCGGUAAUACGGAGGGUGCGAGCGUUAAUCGGAAUUACUGGGCGUAAAGCGCGCGUAGGCGGUCUGAUAAGCUGGUUGUGAAAGCCCCGGGCUCAACCUGGGAACGGCAUCCGGAACUGUCAGGCUAGAGUGCAGGAGAGGAAGGUAGAAUUCCCGGUGUAGCGGUGAAAUGCGUAGAGAUCGGGAGGAAUACCAGUGGCGAAGGCGGCCUUCUGGACUGACACUGACGCUGAGGUGCGAAAGCGUGGGUAGCAAACAGGAUUAGAUACCCCAGUAGUC